rnacentral:rRNA from 1 species
GACGAACGCUGGCGGCAGGCUUAACACAUGCAAGUCGAGCGCCCCGCAAGGGGAGCGGCAGACGGGAGAGUAACACGUGGGAACAUACCUUUUGGUUCGGAACAACUGAGGGAAACUUCAGCCAAUACCGGAUAAGCCCUUACGGGGAAAGAUUUAUCGCCGAAAGAUUGGCCCUCGUCUGAUUAGCUAGUUGGUGAGUUAACCGUUCACCAAGGCGACGAUGAGUAGCUGGUCUGAGAGGAGGAACAGCCUCACCGGGACUGGGACACGGCCCAGGAUCCUGCGGGAGGGAGCAGUGGGGAAUAUUGGACCAUGGGCGCAAGCCUGAUCCAGCCAUGCCGCGUGAGUGAUGAAGGCCUUAGGGUUGUAAAGCUCUUUUAACGGGGAAGAGAAUGACGGUACCCGUAGAAUAAGCACCGGCUAACUUCGUGCCAGCAGCCGCGGUAAAAC